rfam:Ciona savignyi cont_24843, whole genome shotgun sequence.
ACUGGGGUUGGCCGAGUGGUUAAAGCGUUGGACUUAAGUUCCAAUGGACAAGUCGUCCGCGUGGGGUUCGUACCCCACACCCAGUA